AAGUCGUAACAAGGUCUCCGUAGGUGAACCUGCGGAGGGAUCAUUAACACGUUUUAAAACACGUUUUAACUAACACCAACCAACCACGUGAACUAUUUAACACUCCUGGAAGAGAAAGAAUUCUGUCUCCUCUCACUAAUGAUAAGUUUACAAGCAAUUGUAAACAGUGAGUUUAGACUAACAUUGCAGUUAAGAGCUGACUUGUAAAGACCUUUCACUUUUGGGCUAAAUGCUCCUAUUAUCAUUCGAGCGAAAACAACCCCUUUCACCAUUUCUAUAACUAUUGACUGAUCUUUUUCUUUGCAACAUAAGAAAAAACCUAAUCAAAUAUCUAAGCACAACUCUUAGCAACGGAUAUCUUGGUUCUC
rnacentral:misc_RNA from 1 species